rnacentral:rRNA from 1 species
ACGCUCGACACCUACGGGCGGCAGCAGUGGGGAAUAUUGCACAAUGGGGGAAACCCUGAUGCAGCGACGCCGCGUGGAGGAAGAAGGUCUUCGGAUUGUAAACUCCUGUUGUUGGGGAAAAAGAGGAUGGUACCCAACAAGGAAGUGACGGCUAACUACGUGCCAGCAGCCGCGGUAAUCUGAGCGGGCGUGGCGAAGGC